rnacentral:tRNA from 1 species
GAACAAGUAGUGUAGUCGUCAGUACUCCACGUUGUGGCCGUGGCUACACAGGUUCGGUUCCGGUCUUGGACG